AACGAACGCUGGCGGCAGGCUUAACACAUGCAAGUCGAGCGCCCCGCAAGGGGAGCGGCAGACGGGUGAGUAACGCGUGGGAACGUACCCUUUACUACGGAAUAACGCAGGGAAACUUGUGCUAAUACCGUAUGUGCCCUUCGGGGGAAAGAUUUAUCGGUAAGGGAUCGGCCCGCGUUGGAUUAGCUAGUUGGUGGGGUAAAGGCCUACCAAGGCGACGAUCCAUAGCUGGUCUGAGAGGAUGAUCAGCCACAUUGGGACUGAGACACGGCCCAAACUCCUACGGGAGGCAGCAGUGGGGAAUAUUGGACAAUGGGCGCAAGCCUGAUCCAGCCAUGCCGCGUGAGUGAUGAAGGCCCUAGGGUUGUAAAGCUCUUUCACCGGAGAAGAUAAUGACGGUAUCCGGAGAAGAAGCCCCGGCUAACUUCGUG
rnacentral:rRNA from 1 species